rnacentral:misc_RNA from 1 species
AACGCACGAGACCUGCGGACCUGCGGAGGGAUCAUUGACGAGAUUGAUUGGGACGGUGGCAUUAUCCUCCUCGUGAGGUGAUGCCCCGGCCUGAACCCCCUCGCACCUUUUUGUUGAGAUACCUUGAGUUGCUUCGGCAGCAGGUCUAUCCUUGCUCCCCCUCUUUUGGAAGGGUAAGGUGACCGACUGCCGGAGGACAAAGAACACCAGCCUCCUUUUGAGAACGAUGAUAAGUCUGAC